UGCAUGGUCACAUUGUUCUUUUUACACGGGUAGUUUCUUUAUAUCACUCGAGGUUCAAUUAGUAUAGGCUACAUACAAUCACGUUUCUUUUGUAAAGUGGGCAUUUUUAAGCUCUAUAUCAGCGUUUCAACUUUCAAUGUGCGCACAGAAACGCCAUGGAAUGCGGCUACGCCAUGUAUGUUUGUCUUGCGGCGAGAGUCCGCACAGUCCACAUACAAGGCAAUGUCUCACAAUUGCUGACUGUAUAGUAAAGAUAUACGGAAUUAUUUGAGAUUUUUGAAACUUGGAGAUCCAUCAAUCACUUCCGAGGCCAGUUUAUUACUCGCACGUGCAGGUCUCUUUGGUCCUGAAGAAAAUCAUAGCAACAUUUCCAUUUGUCCUCGGCAUCGCGAUAGCCAUGGAAUUUGCUGGCGGAGCAACCGCAGAAGUUGUGCCUGUCCCGCAAGCUGGGCAGAACACAGGAGCGCCAAAGCCGAACGGCCAAUAACAAAGGAACAAUCAGAGAAGUUACUAAACCUUACUGAUGUGCUUAUUCCGGUAGGAUCGAAGAGGUAUUUGUGAAUGCAGCACAUUUGCACUGAGUGAAGCAAAAGACGAACAUUUCAGUAGCACUUGUGACCAUACACACAAUGACGCCUGUCCACAGUGUGAAGCCCUCGACAAAGUGUUGGUCGAUAUUGGAGAUGUCUUCAAUAACGAUAACGUUGCCAUCGCGGAAGAUGAGUUAGUGGAUCUUCAAUACAUCUGCCAGAAAGCGACACAAGAUGGGAAGUCAUGGAAAGCGCACCAACUUCGAAGCAUCACACAAGAUGAGGCUAGACUAGACGUCUUGGACCGGCUUGACCAGUUAUCUGUCCUUAUC